AAAAGAGAAACCUUAAACCAUGAUUGUUCAGAUUCUCAUCAAUGCCCUCUAUUCAAUAUAC
rnacentral:sRNA from 1 species